UCCCUGGAGGACUACUGGUUAGGCCACAUUACUCUCAGUGCUGCGGCCCGGGUUCGAUUCCUAGCCAGGGAA